AUGGACAUGAGGGCCCCUGCUCAGCUCCUCGGGCUCCUGUUGCUCUGGUUACCAGGUGCCAGAUGUGACAUCCAGAUGACCCAGUCUCCAUCCUCCCUCUCUGCAUCUCUAGGAGACAGAGUCACUAUCACUUGUCGGUCCAGUCAGGGCAUUAGCAAUUAUUUAAACUGGUACCAGCAGAAACCAGGGAAAGCUCCUAAGCUCCUGAUCUAUUAUUCAAAUAGCUUGGCAGAUGGAGUCCCAUCGAGGUUCAGUGGCAGUGGGUCUGGGGCAGAUUAUUCCCUCACCAUCGGCAGCCUGGAGUCUGAAGACAUUGCCACUUAUUACUGUCAACAGAGUAUGAAUCUUCCUCCCACAAGCUUUGCAGAGCAACUCACAGAACUGAACUUGAUUCCAGAACGGAAGCUACCAAGCCUGGAUGAAACUAUCAGCUCAAUUCCACCACCAUUUUUCUAUAAGUUCG